AUGCCGCUAGACACUUGCACCAUUAUGACCUUUUUUUUUUAACAAUGGUGAUGCACUUACAUUCAAAAUUAUUUGUGACAUAGUCUAAGUGAUAUUUUGAUAACCAUAGUGUAUUAAUGAAAAUACAAAUGCGUUAGCUGUCAACCAAAGACAAUUUUAAUCAUCGAUGGCAACUCUGCAGCAGGUGCAUUUAAUUUGUUGGUCAGCAAACGUUUUUAAAUACCCAAGAUCCUUUAAUACUGUGUCGUUUACUUGACCCUCCUAGAUACUACAUGGACAGUGACCAACAACACCAUGGAAGGGAGUCAUAUAGAUCAGUAUAUUCUAAGUUUAAUCACCAUGUAGUGUACAGUUAUGAGUUCCAAUACUUCGUGCCAGUCACUCGGCAGGAGACAAGCACCGGGCAGGGUCCCGCGGUGCAUCGGGACCGCCUGCAUGCAGCCAAGGCGUCAUCAGUGCAGCGGCUCUCCUCUCCAGGUGGACAAGCUUGUCGCAAGGCACCACUGCCACACGUAUCCCCCCCCUCCCUACUUGGCCGGGCCGCCGCACCUGUCCGGCCGCUGCCCCGCCCUGGCCGCCGCGGCGUGUUAGGGGCGGAGGACAGCGCUGCGGCCUCGUAAAUGUCACCAGCUCGCGCUUCAGACCGAGUGCCAAAGGCUGUCCGCGGUUGAUCUUCCUCUCGAUGAGCUGUUGUUGCGCGGCGCAGAGCACUCCUAGCUCAAAGAUUCCUCGCCGCCGCCAAGUCCCAACGAGAGGGUUCUUUCGCCUCCUUUGUCACCCCCAAAGGCUGUGAAGGGUGUGAUGGGCACGGAAAACCAGCACAGAGGGCGAAGUAGACCACGACGUUCCAAGCCUUCCUUACAAACUUGACGCAGAUGACGACGAAUGAUGGGAACUUUUGACCUCCAAACGUCGCAGGGUGACGGCCGUGGUGGCGGCAGCGACCGCCUGGAGAGCUCGGCGCCGCUACUGUUUCGGCUUCGUGACAUCUCCGCCGUGUUGUAAUGGUUUAUGGCCGCUGCUUAAUGUGGCCGCCAGCUGUGGAGGGUCAUGGUGAUGUUUCGCUUGGUGGCAGUGUUUGGUUGCCCAUCUCGUCUUUUGUGUUCUCGGAAAAUGUUCAGUCUUUCUGUGCCACGAGAAGAAGACAUCCUUAGAAGUCCUGAUCAUCCCCAAGAGUCAAGACAACCCGAUUCUGCGGCGCCCAGCGAACUCCCACCCUGCCUGGCACACCUUCUUCGUGGCACCCUGUAACCCUGCCGCUCCCCUGCAUGGCAUUCUGUGUACCUUUGAUGUCCCCAUAAUCUGACACUCCAACUCUGGCACUCACUUUCAUGACACUGUGAUAGCACCACCGUAGCAAGGUUCUCUGACACUCCUCGAGUCUGGCACCCUCCCCUGACAUUCCCUGGCAUGCCGUUCUUACUUUGGAUGUCCCAUUCAUCUAGCAGAAAGUCAAAUAAAUCAGGAGAAUUGAAAUUAGAUAGAUAGCUUUUGGUAAACACACUAUUACCAUGAAUAGCAACUUGACACUCUCCCUGAAGAGAAAGGUACACAGUCAGUGUGUUCUGACAGUUCUGAAAUAUACAGUUCAGAAACUUGGCGCCUCACAAAAGGUUUAGAGAGAAAGAUAAAAAGUGCACAAAAGUAAGGAGAAAAAUGUUGGGAAUGACAGGAGGAGACAGGAGGCGAGCAUCAUGACGUCGGAAAAGACAAAGGUUUAAUAUUUUCAUGUGACUUUAGGAACAAGAUAUUGUCUUGGACAGGUUAUACCAUGCAUGGAAGUGAUAGAAGGAAGGGGCUGUUGAUGGUAACCCAGGAAUGGUAGUCAUGGGGUCAUGGCAGAAGGGGCUCGGCAGAAAGAUGAAAUUGGAAAAUUUGCCAGAGCAUAAUGGAGUGCCCUAACAUCACGGAGAGAAGGAGGUGAAGAACGUUGUUAAAGGCCUUCGUCCUGUAGUGGACUUUUGAUAGCUUAUGAUGAUUCAUAAAACAUCAGCUGUUACUAGUCCAAUGCAUGAUGGUUUUUCUCCACCUCCGUCUCUCUGAUGUUAGUGCAUUCCAUUAUGCUCCGGCUAAUUCAACAAUUUCAUCUCUAAACCUGGUCCUCUGUCCUGUAAUUUCUUGGUAAUCAAGUGUGUUUGUCCGGUUGUCAAUCUGUAAUCAGUUCCACACAUGCACAAGUCAAUUUCUUAAUCGUUAAUGGUCAUCAGAGGAUCUUAAGCCCGUGUCUAUAAUAAAGGAUGCUCGCUUCCUCUUCCCAUAUUAUUCCCAGCAAUUUUCUCUCCUCACCUUUGCAAUUCUUAGCAUUCUCUGUAAAUCUUUUGACACGCCAAGUUUCCAGUGUUAGGACUGUCAGGAUACACUAAUUGUACACCUUUCUCUCCGGGAAGAGAGGCAGGUUGUUGUUAUUCAUAAUACUGUGUUAAUCCAAAGCGCUCCAUCCCAUUCCUAUUUUAUUUCGGAUUUAUCUUUCAUGGUCUGUGUUUGCGUCGUUUACCUGACCUAGAUAUGUGAGAACCUCGUCAUCUUCACUACUACUUAUCAUGCAACGCAGCUUGUUAUUCUCUCACUUUCCCACUGCUACUCGUACUUCAUUCUCUUCACUCCAUCCGACACCCCUCUUCUUGCUCCUCCCAGCUCACCCUUCUACCACCUCUUCGCCAUCCACUUUUCUCAUCCUCCUGGUCUCUCCCUCACAGUAACUUCUUCCUGCUUCGUCCUCCUCCUCUUCGUUCUUCUUUCUCAUUCAUCCUCCUCCCUGUCUCCAUCUUAGUUACUCCCCCCCCCCCCCCCCGCACCUGAGUAAAUAUAGUGCUAGACGGAACUUUAUAUUUUUUAAUACAUUUUUUUCUUCAGAAUCGUGCAUGGUUUUAAGCUUCGAGUUUUCACGCAUAUUCCUACCCUUCUUAACUCGCUCACACUCUAACUCACUCUUUCUCUCUCCUACCGCUUCGUCUUUUUUCCCUCCUCCCCUAACCUCUCCUCUCUUGUUUCACGCCCUCUUUCCCCUCCCAUUCCCUCCGCUCCUCUACUAGUUUGAUGUCUGUUUUCCCUCUCCCUUCCCCUAAUCUUCUAACCUCACUCGUCUCUUCUCCCCACCUUUCCUCCCCUACUCUUGUUGCACGUCCCUUUCCCCUCCCCUGCGUGGCUCUGCAGUAUUAGUAACCUUGGGAGACACCCGCGAGGACCCACACUGGCCGCCUUAGACUCCCUCCCAGAAGACGACUAAUUAAAACUGUUAUCAUCCUUGCAUUAAACCAGGGCGGCGUGUGUACCUGGCGAGCGGCGGGUCGGGGCAGGGAGGCGGCGCUGACGGGGCGACAUCAACACUCGUAUUUCCUCGGGUCCAAUUAGGCGGCUGUUUGGCCGUGUAAUGAGACUUCGGCAAUAACUGUCGCCGAGCGGGGAGGGGGGAGACAGAGUGCCUAGCCGACGGAGACAAAGUGCCGCGCCGCAGUGCCAAGACGUCCCCUUCCCAUCGCUUCCACAGUGCCACUCCCGCCCUCCGCUUCCUCCAACGUGGGAUGCAAAGGAGGGAGAAGCAGCAGAGUAAGAUGAACAGGGUGACUUACUGACUGGAUGCUCAAGAGCUCGUGCAGAGUCAACCGCACCUCCUCCCAGCCAGCCCACAGGGUCCGGCAGGAACAGACGAAGGAAGUCACAUGAAAGGAGCAAAAUACCCUUCGUGGCCGCCGCCGCCUCCCUGCCCUCCCGUCGGCCGUCCUUCGCACAGCAGCUCCGCCAUCCACCCCGCCCUGAAGGGGAGGAAGAUACUCCGACAUUAUACACACACACUACCGGCGAAGACAGGGAACGUACGGGUCAAGAUGAUAAUGGGGGCAUACCAGUUUUGGAAAACCCACAACCUGAAAAGUGUGCGUUUUUAAGAGAAUAAUUCCAUACAUUACAACGUGUUGGAGCAGCUCUGCAGUGUUGUAUAAAGUUAAAAAACAUAAAUAAUGCACCACCAUAUUCCCUAAAGAUCGACAUACAAUUUCUUGUUCCUAAUUUACUUUGAGUUAAAUUGCAGCCAAAUCUGAUGAUACCUUAGUGGGCUCGGCGGCAAAGGGUAAAAAGCUGCUAUCUGUCAGUCACGUCUGCGCCUUGACGGGGAAAGUAGCGCCGCGGCCGCCGAUAGCAUCAGCGGCCGCCAAUACGGGUCCGGGGCGCGAGGCAUUAAUCCCCGGGAAACAGAGUGGCCCUCAGCCUGCCAACCGCACAACUUCGCGCCAACAUUACGACCCGACCCGCAAAAACCAGCGUAGUAAAUAUACAAGACCCGCGCCGUAAGUAUUGUGGUUAAAACGCAUAUUUGAACUAAAAUUAGUGGGCGAGGGUCUGCAAAAACCGAGGGAGGCAGCGGCUGAGCGCCCAACACCCGGGCAGGCCGCCACCACACGUCACCCGCGCCGCCGCCUCCGUUUGCUUGUCUGCCUCAUUUAUCUGAUCUACCUGUUUUUCAAAAAUAUAAAAGUGAGGCUCAAACAGAUUCUCCAAAU